rnacentral:lncRNA from 1 species
AAUGGAUGCUACUCAGAUACAUCUACAAAAAAAUGGUCAUCUUACUCUUGGAGUUCAGCACUGGGCAGAUCAGAGAUCACAGCUUGAAGAUGUUUGGAGCACAACAUAGCACAGUACAAAGUCUUUCAGGGGAAAUAAGUUGUGUAGGUGGCAAAAUACCCCUACAUCAGGGGGUUGAUGACUG